rnacentral:rRNA from 1 species
UACAGAGGUGGCAAGCGUUGUUCGGAAUUACUGGGCGUAAAGGGCGCGUAGGCGGUCUUGCAAGUCCUGUGUGAAAUCCCUCGGCUCAACUGAGGAACUGCACAGGAAACUGCUUGGCUUGAGUUCGGGAGAGGGAAGCGGAAUUCCGGGUGUAGCGGUGAAAUGCGCAGAUAUCAGGAGGAACACCGGUGGCGAAGGCGGGUCUCUGGGCCGAUACUGACGCUGAGGAGCGAAAGCGUGGGGAGCGAACAGG